rnacentral:lncRNA from 1 species
AGAUGUCACAGUGCUGAAUUCUGGGGAGUAUGAAAUUGAGGAACAGCAUCUGAUGAGGCCCGGAAGCUGUAUUUUACCAUGGAAAAAUGCAUGUUUUUCCUUGGGUUCUCCCUAUCUCAUUCCAAAAAGCGACAUAAAAACUCAUUUGGACGAGGAUAUUUGAUGUGGAGGAAGCCAACUGCUGUGAAGUCUAUUUUUUGUCAAUUGACAGUAAUAAUGGUCAUUCAAAAUCAAGUUGAAAAUUCCUGCUAUGAUACACCGAGCCUCCGUUUUCCUAGGCUCACGUUUACACUCAGCACUGCAGAAUGAAACUCUUACUGCAUACCACCUUGCCCCCGUACCAACUGCCAAGUCAGCACAAAGUCAACCUGCGCAGGACAGGACUUUUUAGUUGCUCUUACUUACAGUCUCCUUUAAUGUCACUUAGUAUUCAUUCUCCUAGCCAUUAAAUAUAUUUUUACUCUUGUCACAGAAGAUACAUAAUAACUUUUCCUGUAAAAUAUUUUAAUAAACUCUAUUAAAAAUUACUUUAUAAAUAUUUUAGUUGAGAAGCAACUGUAU